rnacentral:misc_RNA from 1 species
GGGAACUCUGCCUCCACUCUGAUUCCUCACAUAUCGGCUAACAUCCCUCGAACUAUUAAUGCAUCGAGUCCGGCUCGCCCGAAUGAUGCUGCUUGCGGCGAGCGACAGCGCAGCGUUGUUUCUGGCGGCGGCCGGCGCCUACGUCCUCUGGGCACUUCCGAUGCUGCGGCAGUCUGGCAGCCUGUAUCUGCAGCUCGCGCCGCUCAUUCUGCUCUUUGUCGCCGGCUACGCCCAGGCUGGCCUGUAUCCGGGCUUCGGGCUUGGCCCCGUGGAAACGCUGCGGCGUCUCACGUAUGUCACGGCGUUCGGAUUCCUGGUGAUCGCUGCGUUCUUCAUCGAUGCUUACGUGCACUU